UCCGGCGUCCAGCCUGGUGGGCUUUUUUUUUGUCUGAGAGCCGAGCGGAGCCGAGCAUGAAAGUGACUUCCUCGAUCAUCUCUGCAGCCCGCGGCGUGCUGCUCAAUCCUCCAUCGCCGUGAUGGACUCCGGGGUCACGACUCGCUUCCUCCUGGAAACUCGCCUUCACCGAGAGACGUCUUAAGAUGACCUUAUUUGAGGAAAGCACCAGCCAGCGUCACCAUCACGCUGAACCACCUGCACACAGUUGUCACCUGCGAAAGGCGGAUGCUGUGAACUCCAGCAGCUGCAGAGUGAAGCAGGAUUUGCUCUCUGUCCCGGAGGUCCACCUUUAAGCAACGAGGAGUGAUUAGCUGCGGCAGCUUCGGCCAAGGAGAGCCAGGCUGGAAAAAAGGUGGGAUGACUCACAGCAAAGGACCACAGGUUGGAAACG